UUUCGUAACUCGUUUGAGCAUUUGAUUUGAAAUCAGAUUGUUUGUUUUUAUUAACAAUACGGGAU
rnacentral:tRNA from 1 species